UACGAAGGGGGCUAGCGUUGUUCGGAAUUACUGGGCGUAAAGCGCGCGCAGGCGGCCUUUCAAGUCGGUGGUGAAAUCCCAGAGCUCAACUCUGGAAUUGCCAUCGAAACUGUAAGGCUUGGGUACGGGAGAGGUGAGUGGAAUUCCGAGUGUAGAGGUGAAAUGCGUAGAUAUCUGGAGGAACACCGGUGGCGAAGGCGGCAUCCUGGACCGACACUGACACUGAGGAGCGAAAGCCAGGGGAGCAAACGGG
rnacentral:rRNA from 1 species